GAGUGCUCAUUUCAAUGAGGCUAUUUCCUGACAACGGCUCCAGCAAUAGUCAAAGAUGCCGGUGCUCCCCUUCCCAGUGUUUCUACUUGGCGAUCCGAGUGUCUUCUAGCUGUUCAAGGAGCACAGCUAGGAGGGAAGGAGGAGAAGCAGCUGGACUUUCAUAGGAAGAACGUGAAGGAGUCCCCGCAGGUGCCGCGGAGUAGUUAUGUGAACAGAAAACUGAGAUAUUUUAGUCUGCUCAUGUUGAAAAAAUGCUAAUUGUGAAUUGAAGAAAUGUGGAGGGCAGUGGGAGCCCUAAGUCUGCAUGGGUGUGCCUGCUCAUCUUGCUUUCAGAAUUCUGGGGUAUUUGACAUCUAUAAUAAUAAAAGCAUAAUAUGCAAAUCGACCGAACGGCUGACAACCGGAACGACCAUCCAGAUGUCCUUCUGGAUGACCUACCGGAAGAAGCUGGGGCUGCAAGGGUUGAGGCAGCUGCCGGGGGCUGCAAAGGCCUACUCUUGCACGAAUUUCGUGCAUAGGGCCUCUAGUGCUAUAAACCAAGUCUGCUUUCUUAUGGCCUAAAAUAUGUCAAAAGACGUUCUGAGAAAUGACAGACAGCAUUGUUAAAUAAACACAAGACCUCCCAAGAAAAGGAAACACUUAUUUGAAUAAUUUAAAUUAAAAUUUAAAAAUCAUCCAUAAUUGAAUGAAUCUCAGAGAAGAGAUUAAGCACGAAUUGCUUCCUUUGAAAAAUGAAAAGUCAUACUCAAGCCUCUAUGAUCAUGAAAACCACACUACCCAACACUAAUAUCCCUAUACUGCCCAAUAUUAACAUCUCUAUGCUACCCAAAAAGGGAAAGUUGAUAAAGAUACAAGUCUCUUAAUUGAAUAUAACCUAACAAUUCCAGAAUACCCAGAGUAAUACGGGGCGUCCCAAAAUAACGUACACACACUUUAACAGUAGAUUCUAUUACAUAUUGAAAGUGAACUAUAUUUUAAUAAACACUGCCUUUAUAAUUA